rnacentral:rRNA from 1 species
GAGAAACGCUGGCGGCGCACAUAAGACAUGCAAGUCGAACGGAAUUUAGUCGAAUGUUUACAUGAGACGAAAAUUUAGUGGCGGACGGGUGAGUAACACGUGAGCAACCUGCCUUUAAGAGGGGGAUAACAUUGAGAAAUGACUGCUAAUACCGCAUAUGCCUAAGUACCACAUGGUACAAUAGGGAAAGGAGCAAUCCGCUGAUAGAUGGGCUUGCGUCUGAUUAGAUAGUUGGUGGGGUAACGGCCUACCAAGUCGACGAUCAGUAGCCGGACUGAGAGGUUGAACGGCCACAUUGGGACUGAGAUACGGCCCAGACUCCUACGGGAGGCAGCAGUCGGGAAUAUUGCGCAAUGGAGGAAACUCUGACGCAGUGACGCCGCGUGCAGGAAGAAGGUUUUCGGAUUGUAAACUGCUUUAGACAGGGAAGAAACAAGACAGUACCUGUAGAAUAAGCUCCGGCUAACUACGUGCCAGCAG